rnacentral:tRNA from 1 species
GGCUAUAUAGCCUAACUCAAGGCAUUUGAAUUGCAAUCAAACCAUGUAUUUUAUACUAUAGCCG